GGCGUCGAAUUCAAGGAGGUGUUUACUUUCGGGCCCGCGUCAUCCGUCCCCGCAGAGGAGGUCGUGGGCUGGUGGAGUCCGGGGAGACCGGAGGAAACUCACAUCCCCUACAGAGGAGACCUGGCCGUGCCCAGCGAUUUCCGGGGCAAUGUCGUCAGGAUCGUCAUUUUAGAGAUAAUGCCUUAUAUAACUUAUAAGAAGACACCGGUGGGAAAGUUGGAAGCUGAUGGAUAUGUUACUGAACUGUGCCUUCUCCUUGCGCAAGAACUGAAUUUUACGAUCGAGUGGGUCGAGUCCCCCGACGGUGAGUUUGGCAUCUCUGACGACAACGGCACCUUCACGGGCGUGGUUGGUGUGUUGCAGCGGAAGGUAGUUUCCUC